UACAGAGGGUGCGAGCGUUGUUCGGAAUUACUGGGCGUAAAGCGUGCGCAGGCGGGCUUUUAAGCCAGACGUGAAAUCCCCGGGCUUAACCUGGGAAUGGCGUUUGGGACUGGGAGUCUGGAGUGCGGCAGAGGAGACUGGAAUUCCUGGUGUAGCAGUGAAAUGCGUAGAUAUCAGGAGGAACACCGAUGGCGAAGGCAGGUCUCUGGGCUGACACUGACGCUCAUGCACGAAAGCGUGGGGAGCAAACAGG
rnacentral:rRNA from 1 species